AUACGAAGGGGGCAAGCGUUGUUCGGAAUAACUGGGCGUAAAGCGCACGUAGGCGGAAUGUUAAGUUAGAGGUGAAAUCCCAGGGCUCAACCCUGGAACUGCCUUUAAUACUGGCAAUCUAGAGACCGAGAGAGGUGAGUGGAAUUCCGAGUGUAGAGGUGAAAUUCGUAGAUAUUCGGAGGAACACCAGUGGCGAAGGCGGCUCACUGGCUCGGUACUGACGCUGAGGUGCGAAAGCGUGGGGAGCAAACAGGAUUAGAAACCCGAGUAGUCC
rnacentral:rRNA from 1 species